UGAUACGGCGCAAUGGUAGUGCGACCGCCUGCGACGCAGAUGGCUCCGAGUUCGAUUCUCGGUGAGUCAC